rnacentral:rRNA from 1 species
AUUUCCCUCUUUCUUUCUGCCUAACACAUGCAAGUCGAACGGCAGCACAGUAAGAGCUUGCUCUUACGGGUAGCGAGUGGCGGACGGGUGAGGAAUACAUCGGAAUCUACUUUUUCGUGGGGGAUAACGUAGGGAAACUUACGCUAAUACCGCAUACGACCUACGGGUGAAAGCAGGGGAUCUUCGGACCUUGCGCGAUUGAAUGAGCCGAUGUCGGAUUAGCUAGUUGGCGGGGUAAAGGCCCACCAAGGCGACGAUCCGUAGCUGGUCUGAGAGGAUGAUCAGCCACACUGGAACUGAGACACGGUCCAGACUCCUACGGGAGGCAGCAGUGGGGAAUAUUGGACAAUGGGCGCAAGCCUGAUCCAGCCAUACCGCGUGGGUGAAGAAGGCCUUCGGGUUGUAAAGCCCUUUUGUUGGGAAAGAAAAGCAGCAGGUUAAUACCCCGCUGUUCUGACGGUACCCAAAGAAUAAGCACCGGCUAACUUCGUG